GAUGAACGCUGGCGGCGUGCCUAAUACAUGCAAGUCGAGCGAACAGACGAGGAGCUUGCUCCUUUGACGUUAGCGGCGGACGGGUGAGUAACACGUGGGUAACCUACCUAUAAGACUGGGAUAACUUCGGGAAACCGGAGCUAAUACCGGAUCAUAUUUCGAACCGCAUGGUUCGAUAGUGAAAGAUGGCUUUGCUAUCACUUAUAGAUGGACCUGCGCCGUAUUAGCUAGUUGGUAAGGUAACGGCCUACCAAGGCAACGAUGCGUAGCCGACCUGAGAGGAUGAUCGGCCACACUGGAACUGAGACACGGUCCAGACUCCUACGGGAGGCAGCAGUAGGGAAUAUUGCGCAAUGGGCGAAAGCCUGACGGAGCAACGCCGCGUGAGUGAUGAAGGCCUUCGGGUCGUAAAACUCUUUUAUUAGGGAAGAACAAACGUGUAAGUAACCGUGGACGUUUUGACGGUACCUAAUCAGAAAGCCACGGCUAGCUACGUG
rnacentral:rRNA from 1 species